CCUACGGGAGACAGCAGUGAGGAAUAUUGGUCAAUGGGCGGAAGCCUGAACCAGCCAAGUCGCGUGAGGGAAUAAGGCCCUACGGGUCGUAAACCUCUUUUGCCGGGGAGCAAGGGCGGGGACGUGUCCCGGCCCGGAGAGUACCCGGAGACAAAGUCUCGGCUAACUCCGUGCCAGCAGCCGCGGUAAUACGGAGGAUGCGAGCGUUAUCCGGAUUUAUUGGGUUUAAAGGGUGCGUAGGCGGGCUUUUAAGUCAGCGGUAAAAAUUCGGGGCUCAACCCCGUCCGGCCGUUGAAACUGGGGGCCUUGAGUGGGCGAGAAGAAGGCGGAAUGCGUGGUGUAGCGGUGAAAGGCAUAGAUAUCACGCAGAACCCCGAUUGCGAAGGCAGCCUGCCGGCGCCCUACUGACGCUGAGGCACGAAAGUGCGGGGAUCGAACAGGAUUAGAUACCCUAGUAGUC
rnacentral:rRNA from 1 species